rnacentral:rRNA from 1 species
UACGAAGGGUGCAAGCGUUAAUCGGAAUUACUGGGCGUAAAGCGUGCGUAGGCGGUUUGUUAAGUCCGUUGUGAAAGCCCUGGGCUCAACCUGGGAAUUGCAGUGGAUACUGGCAGCUAGAGUCAGGUAGAGGGUGGUGGAAUUCCCGGUGUAGCGGUGAAAUGCGUAGAGAUCGGGAGGAACAUCUGUGGCGAAGGCGGCCACCUGGACCAUGACUGACGCUGAGGCACGGAAAGCGAUGGGGAGCAAACAGG